rnacentral:rRNA from 1 species
UACGUAGGGUGCAAGCGUUAAUCGGAAUUACUGGGCGUAAAGCGUGCGCAGGCGGUUGUGCAAGACAGAUGUGAAAUCCCCGGGCUCAACCUGGGAACUGCAUUUGUGACUGCACGGCUAGAGUGUGUCAGAGGGGGGUAGAAUUCCACGUGUAGCAGUGAAAUGCGUAGAUAUCAGGAGGAACACCAGUGGCGAAGGCGGUGUUCUGGGCCAGUACUGACGCUGAGGCGCGAAAGCGUGGGGAGCGAACAGG